CAUCACCCUCCUGCCAGGGGUUGAAGUCAGGAAGUAGUUUAUUUUCGCUGAAACUGAAGGGGGAAGUUAAAGAGAAAAAUAGCUGCAACUUGGUCAAUUCAGGAAAACCAGGUACGAAAAAAGAGGAGCAAGUUAAAGGGAAAGCCAGCUCGGAUUUGCUCACCAGUAAAAGGCAAAAAUCCCAGUGUUAUUCAUCUGCAUUUGGUGUGAAAGACAAAAGCUCAACUGGGAUCUGAGGCUUUCUGUGUCAGAGGGCAAGGAGUCAAUGGGGUUAUGAGGAAGUAAGACCACUUGAGACAUCAAAGAAAAGUAGAUCAAAUCACUAGACUCCUCCAAACAGGAGUGGGUGAAGACAAAAAGUGGAGAGAAUCCAGAGGGAAGAGAGGAGUAGGGAAAAUGGUGGAAAGGGAAGGUUUUUGAGAUGGAAGGCAGAGAAUGGGAACAAAAGAAGAAAAAGCUGUUUGUUUCAAAUCAAUAUUCUCCAAGAGGAUGUCUUGUUUCCCCAGGGAUAUUCUGAGGGACUCACAGGAUCAGAGCUGCGACACUUCUAACAUAUGAAUUCUCUCAAUUCUGAUGCCCUUUGACCUCUGCCACACAAUGCCAAGACAAACCCAGACCCCAGGCCCUGGAAACAGAGGAGGGGCAGGGACCACCUUCCCCCCCCCACAGAAUUUAUAGGAGAACACAAAUAUAGAUUAAAACAUCUUAUAUUUUUAAGAAUUCAGUUGACUUUACAUACAAUUCCCUCCAUUUUCUUUUUCUUUUAUUUUUACUUCAAGUACAAAUAUUUACAUAUCUGAAGGCACUGAACUUAUUUUGUGCAAUCAAGACAUAUAUUGUUUCAAACCAAUGUGUCUCCAAGGGGAUGGAGGUAUUCUUGAAAUGUCAUUAAUGUGACUUUUCUAGUGUCACACCUUAUUUAUAUUAUUUAUAAAUGAGAAGAAUAGUAUUGCUACUUGUUUUAAAAGUGACAGAAACCACAGACCAGAAAUCCUUCCUUUAAUCCUUCCCACUUGCUCACUGACAUAGGGAAAGGCUUCAGUCAUUUUCAGCUUUUAUCCUUUUCUCCCACUUGUAAAUUGGGUGCAUUUCUAUUCUUACACUUUCUCCUUCUCCAUCAAAUUCCAAAGUGGAAUACAAGAAGGAAACUUACUAAUACCAUAGUUUGGGGGCAGGAAUUAUGCUCAGUGAGGAGUGGAUAUAUUGGGCACGUAGGCAUUUCUAGUACUUUUCUCUAUUUUCUCAUUAAAUUCCUUUUACUCUGCUGAAGUCAAUCUCUUUGAGGGAAAUUCUAGGUCUCAGGAGACAGAGCUUAGGUUUUCAUGCCAGAGAUGCCUGCCCUAGAGUCUCAGAGACACCUAUUUACCCUCUUUCCUCAUCUUUAAAAUGAAGGUACAAUACUUAUUUCACAGCACUUUUACAAGCACCAAAUGCAAUAAACAUCCUAACUAUCUGGACUGCAAAACUGGCCCUCACUCAAGGCAAGAACUUAAAUAAUGUUGACAUGGACAAGAGACAGGGAAAUACUGGGUAGAAGGGCGGUUCUCCAGCAAAGGCCCCAUCCUCAAGCCUGGAAUCCCACAGCCCUGAAUAAGAAUAGGCAUUCUUGUUUUCACACCCAAAAGUUGCCUUUUGGCCUGCCACACCCCCUUCCUGUACUCAUAUAAACCCCAG
rnacentral:lncRNA from 1 species